rnacentral:lncRNA from 10 species
GAGGCUGAGGCAGGAGAAUCACUUGAACCUGGGAGGCGGAGGUAUCAGUGAGCCCCGACUGCAACAUUGCACUCCAGCUUAGGCAACGGAGUGAGACUCAAAAAAAAAAAAAAAUUAAUGACCCUAAAACCUUAUGAAAAAAACAAAACCCAAAAAGGAUCAGGAUAGUUCCAGAGAAAUCAGAAGCAUAUGAACAAAGGUAGAGAGAAAUAGGGGGACAGCAUUUCAUGAUGACUUAUUUAGCCCAUACAUUAUCCAGUAAACACUGUGAGGCACAAGAGACUGUGUGAGAUGCUGAAGGAGGUGAAGGAUGCACGAAAGGGCAGGGAAGUGAGUUCGGGGGCUGUAGCCCAAGGUUGAGGAAUGACCGUCGUGCCUGAACUAGGGCAGUCAUGGAUAAGGAAGAAAUAGAACAAAUCAUAGAAGUGAUUCCAAGAAAAAAAAGAGGAAGGGUAUAUUUAAUGACUAUUUGCAUUGUAAAUGAGGAAGGCCUUCUUCACACUAUGCCUACCCAAUUUGCCAAGCUCUCUGUGUUAGUCCAAGUUCUCUACAGGGACAGAACUAAUAGGAUAGAUAUAUAUAUAAAGGGGAGUUUAUUAAGGAGUAUUAACUCACACGAUCACAAGGUCCCAUGAUAGGCCACCUGCAAGCUGAGGAGCAAGGAAGCCAGUCCGAGUCCCAAAGCUGAAGAACUUGGAGUCCAAUGUUUGAUCUUCUGCCUGCUUUUUAUUCUGGCCACACUGGCAGCUGAUUAGAUGGUGCCCACCCAGAUUAAGGGUGAGUCUGGCUUUCCCAGUCCACUGACUCAAAUGUUAAUCUCUUUUGGCAACACCCUCACAGACACACCCAGGAACGAUAUUUUGCAUCCUUCAAUCCAAUCAAGUUGACACUCAGUAUUAACCAUCACACUCUCCAUCACCCUUCAAGAUUCAGCUCAACAAUCCCCCUUCUGCAAAACCUCCCUCAAGAGGGAUUACUGACUUUCUCCACAGCACAUCUCUUCCCAACCAACUUUGAACUUCUCACUAAAAAAAGGAUGAAUGAAAAGUGGAGAGAGGAGUUGCAGAUGACUCUGAAGAUUUCAAGAAAAGGUAACCUGGAAAAUAGUAACAUGCAGUGCCGUUUCUGGGCAAGGUCCCUAC